AAGGAAUCCAAUAAAGAUUUUAAGUAAAGAAUUGCAAGAGAUUGGCGUUAGCGUUUGGUUUAUGCGGGUGUUGGCAUACCGUAAAAGAAGGCUCGGGUAUGGAAUUGGAGCUUCAGUUCUGGCAAUAGAGGAAAGGAUGAAGAAGGAAGAGGAACUCAAAGAGGAGGAAAAUAAAACGAUGUCGUUAUUAAAGUUUUUUUUUUUUUUUUU
rnacentral:misc_RNA from 1 species